CAUGCAAGUCGAGCGCCCCGCAAGGGGAGCGGCAGACGGGUGAGUAACGCGUGGGAAUCUACCCAUCACUACGGAACAACUCCGGGAAACUGGAGCUAAUACCGUAUACGUCCUUCGGGAGAAAGAUUUAUCGGUGAUGGAUGAGCCCGCGUUGGAUUAGCUAGUUGGUGGGGUAAUGGCCUACCAAGGCGACGAUCCAUAGCUGGUCUGAGAGGAUGAUCAGCCACACUGGGACUGAGACACGGCCCAGACUCCUACGGGAGGCAGCAGUGGGGAAUAUUGGACAAUGGGCGAAAGCCUGAUCCAGCCAUGCCGCGUGAGUGAUGAAGGCCCUAGGGUUGUAAAGCUCUUUCAACGGUGAAGAUAAUGACGGUAACCGUAGAAGAAGCCCCGGCUAACUUCGUGCCAGCAGCCGCGGUAAUACGAAGGGGGCUAGCGUUGUUCGGAAUUACUGGGCGUAAAGCGCACGUAGGCGGAUUGUUUAGUUAGGGGUGAAAUCCCAGGGCUCAACCCUGGAACUGCCUCUAAUACUGGCAAUCUAGAGUCCGAGAGAGGUGAGUGGAAUUCCGAGUGUAGAGGUGAAAUUCGUAGAUAUUCGGAGGAACACCAGUGGCGAAGGCGGCUCACUGGCUCGGUACUGACGCUGA
rnacentral:rRNA from 1 species